UGCAAGUUGCAAGUACUCAGUCAUGGUUUGAAAAAUGUAAAUCCCCAGCCUCGGAUGGGUUUGAAUAAUUCAUUCUUUCGCCUAGUAUUUAAUUGAGGAUUUUCCUGCAAUCCACAUCAUAUUCCUGCUGAUUUCGACACCGUUUUAAUCAUGAAAUAUUCAGUCGCAGUGUGCGCUUUAGUGAUGGUUUUGUACGCGGUUGCAUACAAAGUGGAAAGUUCUUCACUUCGUGAAGAUGUUUACUUGUGCUUGAACAAUAUUUGCCAACAAUGGUGUAGAAGAAACCACCCUGGAAUGCAAGAAGACUGUUCCUUUACGACUCCAGCUGGACCUCAUUGUCGAUGCAAACCGCUGUCGCGACCGCUGAAGAUUUGAGGUUUAAUUCAAAACACUUCUUUGAUUUUAUACAACUUUUGAAUACAAGAAAAUUAUUUAAGUUUU